rnacentral:rRNA from 1 species
GAACGCUGGCGGCAGGCCUAACACAUGCAAGUCGAGCGGAUGAGAGGAGCUUGCUCCUGGAUUCAGCGGCGGACGGGUGAGUAAUGCCUAGGAAUCUGCCUGGUAGUGGGGGACAACGUUUCGAAAGGAACGCUAAUACCGCAUACGUCCUACGGGAGAAAGCAGGGGACCUUCGGGCCUUGCGCUAUCAGAUGAGCCUAGGUCGGAUUAGCUAGUUGGUGAGGUAAUGGCUCACCAAGGCGACGAUCCGUAACUGGUCUGAGAGGAUGAUCAGUCACACUGGAACUGAGACACGGUC